UACGGGGGGGGCAAGCGUUGUUCCGAAUUACUGGGCGUAAAGGGCUCGUAGGUGGCCAACUAAGUCGAACGUGAAAUCCCUGGGCUCAACCCAGGAACUGCGUCCGAUACUGGUUGGCUUGAAUCCGGGAGAGGGAUGUGGAAUUCCAGGUGUAGCGGUGAAAUGCGUAGAUAUCUGGAGGAACACCGGUGGCGAAGGCGACAUCCUGGACCGGUAUUGACGCUGAGGCGCGAAAGCUAGGGGAGCAAACGGG
rnacentral:rRNA from 1 species